UUAAAUGGAUGAAAUAUGAAGUUUUAUUAAAAGAAAAAGAGGUGAAAAGAACAAAGUUUUGUCCAUCUUUGUUCAUCAUAGCUGAAAGUUAGAGAAGAGAAAGGAGAGGAGAAAGCUCUUGAGUAUUCGGUCAUUAGAAGGAGGAAAAUUGAAGGAAAUCCCCAACCAUAGUGGGCUUGGAGCUAUGAGGGAAUUCGGAGUGGCCACCCGUUCUGAAAGUUUGAUUUUCUUCUGGUGAACUGGACAUCCUUUUAUUUACGUUUGAAGUUUUGGGUUUUUAAAUGUAAUAAGGCCGCUUAUUUAUUUUUGAUGGUUUUUUUUAUAUGUAUUACUAAGAUAGGUAAUACUUAUUUUAACUGUUGAAAUUGGAUAGCUUUAGGGCGCAUUUUCAAAAACAACAA